rnacentral:rRNA from 1 species
GUAGGGAAUUUUCGGCAAUGGGCGCAAGCCUGACCGAGCAACGCCGCGUGAGUGAUGAAGGUCUUCGGAUCGUAAAGCUCUGUUGUAAGGGAAGAACGUCUCUGUAAGAAACAGGGAGUGACGGUACCUUACCAGAAAGCCACGGCUAACUACGUGCCAGCAGCCGCGGUAAUACGUAGGUGGCAAGCGUUAUCCGGAAUUAUUGGGCGUAAAGGGUGCGUAGGCGGCUUGUUAAGUUUAUGGUGAAAGCGUGGGGCUUAACCCCAUUAAGCCAUAGAUACUGGCAGGCUAGAGUGUAGAAGAGGGCAGUGGAAUUCCAUGUGUAGCGGUAAAAUGCGUAGAUAUUAGGAAGAACACCAGUGGCGAAGGCGGCUUUCUGGACGAAAACUGACGCUGAGGCGCGAAAGCCAGGGGAGCAAACGGGAUUAGAUACCCAUGUAGUCC